CCCUUAGAUGUUCUGGGCCGCACGCGCGCUACACUGAUGCAUUCAACGAGUCUAAAACCUGCUCUGAUAGGGGUGGGUAAUCUUUUGAAUGUGCAUCGUGAUUGGGAUAGAUGAUUGCAAUUUUUCAUCUUCAACGAGGAAUGCCUAGUAAACGCAAGUCAUCAGCUUGCAUUGAUUACGUCCCUGCCCUUUGUACACACCGCCCGUCGCUCCUACCGAUUGAAUGAUCCGAUGAAUAUCAUGGAUUGAGGAUGCAAGUAGGUUCACCUAUCUUCAUCUUCGAGAAGUGAAGUAAAGCUUAUCAUUUAGAGGAAGGAGAAGUCGUAACA
rnacentral:rRNA from 1 species